AGCCUUAGCCCCAUUACAACCUUUGAGAGGACCUUCUUGAUCCUUAAGAUGGGACAUCCUUUGAUGUGGAGAUGAGUUACAAGAGUUGAACCUAUGGCUUGGGUCCAUUCGUGCAAGUAGUUGGUAUCUUUCAUGAGAUCUUGAAAAAAAUUAUAUUCACAAAGUGCUUUUCGUUUCUUAUAUAUGUGAGCUAUUUGAUUGCCUUAAAAUAUGUUCUCUCACAUAUAAUUGAGUGAUUAUAAGCUUUUAAGCAUUGCCUUGAUCUGAGAGAAGAAAGAGUGGAUAUACCUUGUGAGGAUAUGAAUCAUACUUGUCUGAAACUUGCUGAGCUCCACCCCAUCACCAUUGUUACAACCAAGUCCUACUUGUGUAUGUGUGGAUUAUAUGUUUUAAUUAACUCUCGAAUGCUUAAACAUUGAUUCUUGGUUGAGUGUUAAUCUUGGUGUUGUGAAAGUAAGAGAUUGCUGAGACAAAAUGUUGAAGGGCAAUAGAGUCAUUGUUUGUGUAGAGUCUUUAAAUUUUCGUUGAGUCUUAGUUGAGUCUUUGUGUGAUUUCGCUAAGGGACUAGCAAAAGCUAAGUGUGGGGGAAUUUGAUAGGAGCAUUUUAAUGCUACGUUUUAACUGCUAUUUCCCUACAUUUCCUGCGUUAUUUCCUUAAUAAAACUCUGUUUAGGAAAGUUUCCAUUCUUUGAUUGGGAAAGUUCCUAAUUGUAGAAAGUUUCCGUUUUGUAGUUUCUAUUUUCCAUUUUUAGAAAGUUUCCAUUUUAGUUUAGGAAAGUUUCCAUUUCUUAUUUUAGAAAGCUUCUAUUUUCAGGUCUUUGGAAUAAAUAAGCUGAAUUGAGUUCAUAAAUGGAAAGAGAAGCUUCAUGAAGAUGACAUGGCAAGGAAAUGACGUGGAAAAUCAGAAAAUAUAAUGCCAAGAGGAAAUCAAGGAAGAGUUUUUAAAAAGGAAAAUAUAUUUUCCUUGGGGAUUAAAUUUGCCGUGUAAUACUUAAGGAAAAACAAGGUGACAACAUGGGAAUUAAAGAUGAUUGAUUGAGGAUUUCAAGGAGAGAUUUUCUUGGGAGACUUUUAUGGGAAGGAAAUAUUGUUGGAGGAAUAAUUUGGUGUGAUUGCCAACGUGAAAAUCAGAAAUAAUCAAGGAGAUGAUGCCAAGAGAGAUUCAAGGGAGAAAUAAAAGGAAAGAGAAAAAGGUGGAGACCAAGAAAAGCUGAAAACGUGUCUAGGUGCAUCCCUAAAUUCCCUAAAGGAAUACUAGCCGAAAUUCAUGAAGAAAAUCAGAAUAAUUUCAAGGAAAUUCGGCAAUUAAAUAUUAGGGAGGUAUUUUAGAGAAUUUUGAUUGGUUGGAACACAUCACACGGAUUACUUGGCAUUCUAUGAUUGGUUGGACUACAUCACAAAGCUUACUUGGCGAAUUCUCAUUGGUGGAAGCUAUGUGGAAAUUUGUGAUUGCUUUGUGAACCGUAGCCGUGCUCCUAUAUAUACCCACCUCUUUGACGUUGAAAAGGGUUCCACAUCCCUUAGAAAAAUUCAGAAAAAUUAUAUUGUUGCCGUGAGCUUCUCUCAUUUUCUCUCCAUCGUCUAAAGCAAGCCACGGAGUUCAAGCAAGGCCGAAGGGAGAAGAAGGAGCCGUGACUAUUCCUCCACCAUCCACCAUUGAAGACUUGCUUUCAAGCUUCAAGGAUCACAACGAAAAUCAUCCAUCCUCAUCUUCCAUCCACGGUGUGUACCCUCAAUCCCCGGAAUAGAACGAUCCCUAUUUGCUUAUACUACUAACGAUCUUUUCAGGGUUAAAUUGCGCGCUUGCAAAAAGCGUAUCAACCUUCAAAAGGGAGAGUCCCAAACCAGAGACUGUAGUCCACCCUCCUCUUCUCGCCCUUUCUCUCUUUGCUGGGCACAUCAGUGUGUUUUCAUGCCUCGAAACUCCUAGUUAGGGACCUCCGAUCAAAAAACUUUCUAUAAAAAAGUUGUUCGCCUAUGUCUCCUCUAUCUAGCCUCCAAAUUUCAGCUACAUCGGAGUCGAUUUGAGACCUAUACACCCCUCGAAGCAGAAGCUGUUCGGAAGCGAGCCUAUUCCGGAUUUCUGCUUGAAUUCCCUCUCUUGCUCUACCCGAAUCCCUCACAUCUUACUUGAGACUGAUACAAACACUUGGUAAGAUUCUGGAACCAUCAUGUUCCCCUUUCUUUCCUCAAUUUUAGGCCCAAUACAUUCAAAACAACUCUUCCACAUAUUGAGAAGUUUCUGUUUCACUCUGCAUGUUCGAGAUGGAGCAAAUUUCUUGACCUGCAACUGGGCUCGAUCCAAUCAGCUCCCUCAGCUCUCUUUCCUGUUGAAAUCCUCAAGAGAAACUCACCUUUUUUAUUAGUCUUUGGAUCUUGUGAAGUGGUGGUUGCUACAAGGUUGCAUUGAGGCCAAGUGCUGCAAGAGAAAGCUCGAGUUCCAGGUAGGGGAUGCCUUUAACUCUAUCUCUGCUUUUCUUGCAUAUACUAUGUUUUAUAUGAGGCCUCUUGCAUGAUUUUUAGAAAUUAUCUGUUUUACAAUUGAAAUGGUUUGCGUGGAUUGGAUUGAUGUGUUGGCAAUUGAUGGGGAUGUAAGGAGAGGUCAGUUCCUCCUUGAGCCACCGGUGGUGGGCAGUGUGCACCAUGCCCUUGUUAUUGAAUUACCCCCUUUGUCUCUAGCCUUGUGAUUAUUGAAUUCCGAAAAGUGAUUGGCUAGAUGGACGGUUAUGAUGAAAGUUGUGGAAGAUCAAUUGUCGUGGGAUUGUAGUUACGUGGUGACGAUCACGUGGAAUCGCAAAUCGGUUUUUAUCUAUUACUUUUUCUCAAAACGAUAACUCAUAUGUUUAAACUUAGAUAUGGGGGGCGGGCAUGGGCAAUGACUGGAUGUAGGAGCCUAACCCCU